rnacentral:rRNA from 1 species
UGGAGGGCAAGUCUGGUGCCAGCAGCCGCGGUAAUUCCAGCUCCAAUAGCGCAUAUUAAAGUUGUUGCAGUUAAAAAGCUCGUAGUUGAAUUUCGGGAUCAAUUUAUUGGUCGUGCUAUUGUACGUACUGGUAUUAUUGAUUUCUACCUUCUGACGAACCAUGAUAUCAUUAAUUUGGUGUCAUGGGGAAUCAGGACUGUUACUUUGAAAAAAUUAGAGUGUUUAAAGCAGGCUCACGCUUGAAUACAUUAGCAUGGAAUAACGAAAUAGGACGUUUGAUUCUAUUUUGUUGGUUUCUAGGAUCGACGUAAUGAUUAAUAGGGAUAGUUGGGGGCAUUAGUAUUCAAUUGUCAGAGGUGAAAUUCUUGGAUUUAUUGAAGACUAACUACUGCGAAAGCAUUUGCCAAGGAUGUUUUCAUUAAUCAAGAACGAAAGUUAGGGGAUCGAAAACGAUCAGAUACCGUCGUAGUCUUAAUCAUAAACUAUGCCGACUAGGGAUCGGAUGAUGUUAAUUUUUUAAUGACUCAUUUGGCACCUUACGGGAAAC